UUUUUUCCCUGGAAGCCAUCCUGUCAGAGGGGUGCAGGUAAUGAAAGUGGGCAAACUACAGUUGCACCAAGGCAUGUUCCCCCAGGCGAUGAAGAACCUCAGACUGGCUUUUGAUAUUAUGAGAGUGACCCACGGCAGAGAGCACAGCCUGAUUGAAGAUUUGAUCCUACUUUUAGAAGAAUGUGAUGCCAACAUAAGAGCAUCCUAAGGGGUGCAGUCAGAGGGAAGGACGGCUUCUACCCUUAUUGAAUGUCAUAUAGAGGUCACACACUCUACACUGUGUGAGCCUCCCUACUGGUAAUGUGAUUCUCUGGUCAUGUAGGUAAACAAAGGCAGACAUACAGUGUGCAAACCACAAGAAUCAUUCGUUGUAGAGAAGCACAAUUAUCAGAAAUAUAAAAAAUUUGGUUGAAAAUGCCAUCUGGUAAUCGUUUGCUUCCUCAUUGGUUGACUUCAGUGUUUAAGAUCUCAACAUUCUCAACAUGAAGGAUAGAAAGUUCUAUUAAAAGCAUGGUAGAAUAAGUUGUAACUUUCUCCUUGGCUAUCUGUGGGGAUAAUUGAAUUAAAAAUCAGUGUUUUCACAAGCAAAA